UACGAAGGGGGGCUAGCGUUGCUCGGAAUGACUGGGCGUAAAGGGCGCGUAGGCGGCUUGCACAGUCAGGCGUGAAAUUCCUGGGCUCAACCUGGGGGACUGCGCUUUGAGACGUGUGGGGCUUGAGUGGGGGAAGAGGGUCGUGGAAUUCCCCAGUGUAGAGGUGAAAUUCGUAGAUAUUGGGAAGAACACCGGUGGGCGAAGGCGGCGACCUGGUCCGAUACUGACGCUGAGGCGCGAAAGCGUGGGGAGCAAACAGG
rnacentral:rRNA from 1 species